rnacentral:lncRNA from 1 species
ACCUCCCUUUUGAAGGAGUCUGUUACCUAUUCGCGAACAGCGACCGUCAUCUGUCGCUACAACGGCGUGUUCUACGGUGAUCGCUUCUUUAUGAACCGGUCGAAUCCUCAGAACCGAUUGGCAUGAAAUGGUUUCAAACAGGAACAACAAGAUAAUUAAAGUUGGCCACAUUGCUGCAAAUACCAUAAAAUAACACAUGGUCAGUACCACUUGAAUUAAAUCGUCAUGCUCAUGAUUUCUCAGCAAGUUUUAUCAUUUCACUCAUAGUUUUUAUAGAAGCGAUGAAUUACUGCUUUGUGAAUGACAAAUUAAUUCAAGAACUAAAUGAAGCACCCCCUUCCUCGUUAACAUUAUGAUAAAUAUUUGCUUGAAGGAAGAUGUUGUUAUUAUUAUAGUCACUUUGCAUUAUUCAGCAAUAAAUAGUCACUAGAAUAAGGAAAAAAGGUUUAUAUAAAACCUUAUACUGUAAGAGGGGCACCUCAAAACCCACAGGAAAAUAUAGUUCCGAUAUUGAAAAACUCUUCUAUUGACCAUCUUGACCUCGAUAUUUAUGACAAGAGAAAAAUAAUUUAAAAUCGUAAAACUUGUGUCUUGUAACUCUAGGUUGCCCAUUUAAAGUAGGGGGGGAGGGGGUCACACAGAAAUAAAGCCUUCGUAAGGUUUUUUUUUUGCAUCAAAACCCCAUCUUUCAACAAUGUUUGGAAGUGCGUUUUAAUUUGAUUUACGGUUGAUGCUUUUUUUAAACUACACCCAUAGAUAAAGAAAUGGCAGAAAUUUUUAUACAAUUUUCCUUAAAGAUAUGUAUCUUUGCAAAUUUACAUUUUUUGUAACCUUAUAAGAUAAACCAUUACUCAAAGUCCCGAAACAUAACGAGAAAGACUUACCAUCAAGCUUCCAGAAAGGGAAUAAAAAGACGCAAUUUCUAUGAGGCUUAGGCCACAUAAAAAUAGAGAGUAAAGAGUCACCUUGAUACAUCAUCUAGAAAAUAUUUUGGGCAUGAAAAAUCUUUAUGAUAGCUCUAAAAUCAAUUUCCACCAUCAAUUAUAAAAUUUAUAGCUCGAAAAAAGAAACAGAUCUCGCGGAUCCUUAAACAAUUGAAAAUGGUUGAUCUAGAUAAUAUAUUGUAAUAUAUACUAUUUUAGGGCUUAAAAUCGUAAUUUUUAUUCACAACCAUAAUGAUCAAGUUAGGAGGAUUUAUUUGAAGUUUUUUUUUACUUUGGAACUAUAUUUUUGGUGAGUUUUAAGCUAAGGUUUUAUUUUUCUUCCAUAAAGACUUAGCCUUAUGGACUAUUUUCCCAAAAAAAAAAAAAGUACAAGCAUACAAUGAGAGGGACGAAAUGCACUUAACUUUUACAGGAUUAAGCACAAAAGUAAAACAAAACAAAUGGGAACAUAGAAUCGAAGGUUUUGUAUUUGGAAUCAUCAAUACACAUAAAAUUUCAAGGAGGCAAGGGCCAACACGAAUCAGGCUGUAAAUGAGCUGGGUUCCAAACCCCGCCAAAAAUCAUGCAAGGUAGGCCCGGCAUGGCCUGGCCCAAAUCAUGCCUGAGAGGCCAGCCAAGAUGGGCCUUUUAUAAAUGUAGAAAAAAGUAUAUUUUAAAAGCUUAUGAAAAAAUAUAUGCCGGACCCCUACUGGUUCAAGUUAGCCUAGGCCAGGGCUACAAUACACCUGGUCUAGCAAAGCCCGGCCCGUACUGGCCAUGUCCCAACCAGGCCCGGUCUAGGGCUGGCCCCAAAGCCCACAAGCCAGCUCGGCCAGUUAACACCCCCAACUUUACUAGAGGGUAAGUUUUCCCUCUUGUCAUUUUGUUUAGCUCUGUUGAUUGUGUUUAGGAGCUCUUGCUCCAAAUAUCUCUGUUUGAAACUUGAUUAUUUUGUUAAGGAAAAAGUUUAUAUAUGGAUGCAACCUUACAAUGAAGAACCACGGAUGCACCUAAAAAUUCCAUCAAAAAAGGUAGUUUUAAUGUUGAAAAACCCUUUGAUUGAUCAUCUCGACAUCGAGAUGUAUAAUCAUGAAAAAUAAAAAGAUUAAGUCUAAAAAAUAGUGCAUUUUACAACGUAUUAUCUUCACCGUCCAUUUUCAAGAUUUUUAUAUGUUUUUUUGAUAUACUUGAUUUUAACUAUUUUUUAAAUUU